rnacentral:antisense_RNA from 1 species
GUUCCGGGUCUCCACGCCCUCCUGGCUUGCGGGCAGCCGCGGAGCCGCGAGUGGACCGAGCGAGUGCAGCUGCCUCCGCGGGGCCGCGCCUGGCCGCCGCCUCCCUUUACCUCCGGCCGCACUGUGGCAGGUGCAGAAGCUGCAGAGGCCGCAGCAGUCCAGCGCGCCCCCUCCGCGUGGCCACAUGCCACCCGCGCCACGCCCAGCAUUCCAGCGUCCAACAGAGCAUGCGUGCACCAUUCCAGCAUCCGGCAACAAUGCACCAGCAUUCCAGAGUCCAACAGAGCAUGCGUGCACCAUUCCAGCAUCCGGCAACAAUGCACCAGCAUUCCAGCGUCCAACAGAGCAUGUGUGCACCAUUUCAGCAUCUGGCAACAUGUGUGUCCCCCAACAUCCCGGUGUCCAGUGGCACAUGUGCACCUGGACUUUCCAGUGUGGUGACCUUUCAGGCACGGAGCAAGGCCAAAGGGAUAAAAAGAUGAAGAUGACGCAGUACUCGCCCUUAUAGUGCCCACAGGUCUGGAUAGGCCAGACAGAUCUGGAAAUAAAUAAUUCAUAAUAAAAAAUAAUUACAGAAUAAGAGGUAUAAUAACCACAGAUAGAAAGUAUUGAGUAAAUCUGUAAGAAAUG